AUACGGAGGAUCCGAGCGUUAUCCGGAUUUAUUGGGUUUAAAGGGAGCGUAGGCGGACGCUUAAGUCAGUUGUGAAAGUUUGCGGCUCAACCGUAAAAUUGCAGUUGAUACUGGGUGUCUUGAGUACAGUAGAGGCAGGUGGAAUUCGGGGUGUAGCGGUGAAAUGCUUAGAUAUCACGAAGAACUCCGAUUGCGAAGGCAGCUUGCUGGACUGUAACUGACGCUGAUGCUCGAAAGUGUGGGUAUCAAACAGGAUUAGAUACCCUGGUAGUCCACACAGUAAACGAUGAAUACUCGCUGUUUGCGAUAUACAGUAAGCGGCCAAGCGAAAGCAUUAAGUAAUCCACCUGGGGAGUACGCCGGCAACGGUGAAACUUAAAGGAAUUGACGGGG
rnacentral:rRNA from 1 species